rnacentral:sRNA from 5 species
UGUAUCGGAAGCCUGACGAGGAUGAGAACCUCCGGGGGCAGGAGGUUCGACUCGAGCGCAGCGAGAGAACGUUGCGUCAGCAACGGCCCGCAGGGCGAGCCACGCAGUGGCGAGUCAUCCUCUAUCACCGACCA